rnacentral:lncRNA from 1 species
AAAUAGUUUCUUGCUUCUCGACUUUCGAAGUAGGUAUGUACCAUGCACAUACUACUGAUGUUUACCCUUUCCUAAAAAAGGAUAUACCGUGCUAAUUACAACUUUCUCUAUAUCAGGUUCAACAUCAGCUACACCUACUAAACACAAUAACCUUGAGGCAAUAAUUGUUAUUACUGACAUGUCACCUCAAACUGAAACAGGUUUGUUGAACUAACCUAUAUGUGCGGGUUACUUUGUUACUGUUACGCCUAAUCCUGCUUCGAUGAUAUUAAAUACACUCUACUUCUUCUUCUACUACUAGGCAGCACCUCUCGAGUUGUGCCAAACAAAGCAAACAAUAUAGUUGGUUGCUUGUUGACUUUUGAAAUAGGUAUGUAAUAUGUAUAUACUAUUGAUUGUUAUUCUUUACAAAAAGAUUUACUUGUUAAUUAGAACUCUCCUUAUAUCAGGCUCAACGUCAGCUACAACCACUAAACAUCAUAACUCCGAAGCAACAAUUACUGGCUCUACAGGUUCGUCUGUUUAUUUUCUAUGUUACACAUAAUUCUAAAAUUAACCAAACUAUUUUUCCUAUAUUAAUUGAAAUUUGAUUUAUAUUAGGUGCACCAUUGCCUCUCCGUCAG